UAUAUGUACUCCACCGGAAGACUGAUAACCUAUGGGUGUUAGACUCUAUGCACAAUGGCCCACACUCGGAGCGCCGAGAAAAAAUAGAUAAAUAUGUAAGUUGUCAGCAACUGUAGAUCCGAAUGUAGUAUUCGCAGCUGAGGGCUAUGAAUGUUGCUAUGAAACAAGGCUCCAAAAAUAGCCUAAUAGGUGGGACUGUGGCGUAUACGUCAUUAAAUGGAUGGAAAUGUGGGAUCCAAAGAGCUUGGCAGAGGAUGAAUUGAAUAUGCCUAUUUGGAUGACGGCCCAGCUGCAACAAAUUCGGAAAGAAAUUGUAACUGACAUUCUAAUUUGCAAAGACAACAUCUCUAGGAGUGAGGUAGAUGGUGUACUCAAUGUACCAUGUCGUCAUGUGGAGGAUAGGGGAAAGAAAAAAACUCUUGAAGAUCCUUGGACGAACUCACGGACAAGAUCACUGGUUCAAAGGGCAGAACUGACUAAGAAAGCUAAACGGAACUAUAAGCCAUAAAUUGAGAUUAGAGUUGGUCGGUGUGUGUUUUUUGUUAAUUUGAUUUUAGGAUUUAGUGGAUGUUAUUUUUAUAUACAAAUGGAUG